GAACUGGUGGUUCAGUGGUAGAAUUCUCACCUUCCAUGCGGGAGGCCUAGGUUCUAUUCCUGGCCAAUGCA
rnacentral:tRNA from 1 species